UACGGGGGGGGCAAGCGUUGUUCGGAAUUACUGGGCGUAAAGGGCUCGUAGGUGGCCAACUAAGUCAGACGUGAAAUCCCUCGGCUUAACCGGGGAACUGCGUCUGAUACUGGAUGGCUUGAGAUUGGGAGAGGGACGCGGAAUUCCAGGUGUAGCGGUGAAAUGCGUAGAUAUCUGGAGGAACACCGGUGGCGAAGGCGGCGUCCUGGACCGUGACUGACGCUGAGGCACGAAAGCGUGGGUAGCAAACAGG
rnacentral:rRNA from 1 species